UUCUCCUUAUAAAAUACAAAACAUUUCCAUUAGAAGCUUUAGUGAAGCACCAGCAAAGCUAACAUGAACGUGUUCUCAGCGAAUUUUUGGAUUGCAACAGGGGUUGUCGCCGCGGCAAGCAUUAAUGCAAUUGCAGCAUUAUACCUACAAUCUACCACUGUAACACCACCACCACCACCUAUAGAAAACUACCCAUGGUGGAUACCUGACCCUGAAUUUGUCCCGUGGGGAGGAUAGCGUUUGAAUAGGAUAGUUUACAAUAAAAUCAAUAAAACUGCAAAUUGUCCUGCUUAA